AGCAGCCGCGGUAAUUCCAGCACCAAUAGCGUAUAUUAAUGCUGCUGCUGUUAAAAAGCUCGUAGUUGGAUACAGAGCCCAGGUUGUGUUGUGGCCCUUUGAUUAUCGAAUCAGCGUACCGCUGAGGAGGUAAGAUUUGGGAAUUCACCCAACACACCAAGACCUGUGCUCUAGGAACGGUGGUAAUGGUGCCCUGUGAGUAGGCCUCUUCAUUGAGACCGAAAGCGCUUACGUGUUAACCAUACGCAUACGGGUCGACCACCGAAGUUACUGUGAACAAAUCAGUGUGUCCAAAGCAGGCGUUCGCCUUGAAUGAUAAAGCAUGGAAUAACAAGGGAUCGAUUCUCUCGAGUCUUUUUGUUGGUUUUUAGCCCGAGAAGGAAUAAUUCAAGUUAUGGACUUAGUUCGGUUGCCUCGCGUAGCCGUUCGCGGACCAUGACCCAGCGGGAUCAAUAGGGACUGCCGGGGUCGUAUGUACUCCCACGUCAGAGGUGAAAUUCUUAGAUCGUGGGAAGACAAACUUCUGCGAAAGCAUUCGACAAGAAUGUCUUCAUUAAUCAAGAACGAGAGUGUGGGGAUCGAAGAUGAUCAGAUACCGUCGUAGUCCACUACUGUAAACGAUGCCGUCUCAGGAUCGAGAGGUGUUCAAUCAUGGCUCUCACGGCACUAACCCCUGAAACGAGAAAUCAAAGAUUAUGGGUUCAGGGGGGAGUACAUUCGCAAGGCUGAAACUUAAAGGAAUUGACGGAAUGACACCACCAGGCGUGGAGUAUGCGGCUUAAUUUGACUCAACACGGGGAAUUUUACUAGGUCAGGACAAUGCCAGGAUUGACAGAUUGAGAGCUCUUUCUCGAUCCAUUGUGUGGUGGUGCAUGGCCGCUCCUGGUUGGUGGAGUGAUUUGUCUGGUUGAUUCCGUUAACGAACGAGAUCUCGACCCUUAAAUAGGUAUGCUCGUCGACGUCGGCUAGAGGACACCCUCGGGUGUUACCUCUAGCCAAGACAGUGCAACUACUUCUUAAGGGGACUGCGUGCGCCGUUAGUACGCGGAAGAGCGAGCCAAUAGCAGGUCUGUGAUG
rnacentral:rRNA from 1 species